rnacentral:rRNA from 1 species
GGUUAAGUGAAUAAGGGCGCACGGUGGAUGCCUUGGCACUAGGAGCCGAUGAAGGACGGGACUAACACCGAUAUGCUUUGGGGAGCUGUACGUAAGCUAUGAUCCAGAGAUUUCCGAAUGGGGGAACCCAGCAUCUUUAAUAGGAUGUUACGAUUGUGUGAAUACAUAGCACAUUCGAGGUAGACGCAGAGAACUGAAACAUCUAAGUACCUGCAGGAAGAGAAAGAAAAUUCGAUUCCCUGAGUAGCGGCGAGCGAAACGGGAAAAGCCCAAACCAGCAAGCUUGCUUGUUGGGGUUGUAGGACUCCAAUAUGGUAGUUCUUUCAGAUAGUCGAAUGACUUGGAAAAGUCAGUCAAAGAGGGUAAAAACCCCGUAGACGAAAUGUGGAAGACACCUAGGAGGAUCCUGAGUACGGCGGAACACGAGAAAUUCCGUCGGAAUCCGGGAGGACCAUCUCCCAAGGCUAAAUACUCCCUAGUGACCGAUAGUGAACCAGUACCGUGAGGGAAAGGUGAAAAGCACCCCGGAAGGGGAGUGAAAUAGAACCUGAAACCGUGUGCCUACAACAAGUCAAAGCCCGUUAAUGGGUGAUGGCGUGCCUUUUGUAGAAUGAACCGGCGAGUUACGAUUGCAUGCGAGGUUAAGUUGAAGAGACGGAGCCGCAGCGAAAGCGAGUCUGAAUAGGGCGUUUGAGUAUGUAGUCGUAGACCCGAAACCAUGUGAUCUACCCAUGUCCAGGUUGAAGGUGCGGUAAAACGCACUGGAGGACCGAACCCACGUACGUUGAAAAGUGCGGGGAUGAGGUGUGGGUAGCGGAGAAAUUCCAAACGAACUUGGAGAUAGCUGGUUCUCUCCGAAAUAGCUUUAGGGCUAGCCUCGGAAUUGAGAAUGAUGGAGGUAGAGCACUGUUUGGACUAGGGGCCCAUCUCGGGUUACCGAAUUCAGAUAAACUCCGAAUGCCAUUCAUUCAUAUCCGGGAGUCAGACUGUGAGUGAUAAGAUCCAUAGUCGAAAGGGAAACAGCCCAGACCACCAGCUAAGGUCCCAAAAUAUAUGUUAAGUGGAAAAGGAUGUGGGGUUGCACAGACAACUAGGAUGUUGGCUUAGAAGCAGCCACCAUUUAAAGAGUGCGUAAUAGCUCACUAGUCGAGUGACCCUGCGCCGAAAAUGUACCGGGGCUAAACAUAUUACCGAAGCUGUGGAGUACACCUUUAGGUGUAUUGGUAGGAGAGCGUUCUAAGGGCGUUGAAGGCAGAUCGUGAGGACUGCUGGAGCGCUUAGAAGUGAGAAUGCCGGUAUGAGUAGCGAAAGACAGGUGAGAAUCCUGUCCACCGAAUGACUAAGGUUUCCUGGGGAAGGCUCGUCCGCCCAGGGUUAGUCGGGACCUAAGCCGAGGCCGACAGGCGUAGGCGAUGGAUAACAGGUUGAUAUUCCUGUACCCGUUGUUUUUGUUUGAGCAAUGGAGGGACGCAGGAGGCUAAGGAAUGCAGACGAUCGGAAAUGUCUGUCCAAGCAGUAAGUCUGAAGAGGAGUCAAAUGCUUCUUUUCUUAAGGACAAGCUGUGAUGGGGAGGGAAAUAAUAGUACCGAAGUUCCUGAUGUCACACUGCCGAGAAAAGCUUCUAGUGAGAAAACAGCGGCCCGUACCGCAAACCGACACAGGUAGUCGAGGAGAGAAUCCUAAGGUGAGCGAGAGAACUCUCGUUAAGGAACUCGGCAAAAUGACCCCGUAACUUCGGGAGAAGGGGUGCUGAUCAUACGAUCAGCCGCAGUGAAUAGGCCCAAGCGACUGUUUAUCAAAAACACAGGUCUCUGCAAAAUCGUAAGAUGAAGUAUAGGGGCUGACGCCUGCCCGGUGCUGGAAGGUUAAGAGGAGUGCUUAGCGCAAGCGAAGGUACGAAUUGAAGCCCCAGUAAACGGCGGCCGUAACUAUAACGGUCCUAAGGUAGCGAAAUUCCUUGUCGGGUAAGUUCCGACCCGCACGAAAGGCGUAACGAUUUGGGCACUGUCUCAACGAGAGACUCGGUGAAAUUUUAGUACCUGUGAAGAUGCAGGUUACCCGCGACAGGACGGAAAGACCCCAUGGAGCUUUACUGUAGUUUGAUAUUGAGUGUCUGUACCGCAUGUACAGGAUAGGUAGGAGCCGUAGAAAUCGGAACGCUAGUUUCGAUGGAGGCGCUGGUGGGAUACUACCCCUGCGUUAUGGCCACUCUAACCCGCACCACUAAUCGUGGUGGGAGACAGUGUCAG